AACGAACGCUGGCGGCGUGCUUAACACAUGCAAGUCGAACGCGAAAGGGACUUCGGUCCUGAGUAAAGUGGCGCACGGGUGAGUAACACGUGGAUAAUCUACCCAGUGUUCCGGGAUAACACUUCGAAAGGAGUGCUAAUACCGGAUAAGCCCACGGGAACUUCGGUUCUUGCGGGAAAAGGUGGGGACCUUCGGGCCUACUGUCACUGGAUGAGUCCGCGUACCAUUAGCUAGUUGGUAGGGUAAUGGCCUACCAAGGCAAUGAUGGUUAGCUGGUCUGAGAGGAUGACCAGCCACACUGGCACUGAAACACGGGCCAGACUCCUACGGGAGGCAGCAGUGAGGAAUUUUGCGCAAUAGGGGAAACCCUGACGCAGCAACGCCGCGUGAGUGAAGAAGGCCCUCGGGUCGUAAAGCUCUGUCAAGUGGGAAAAAAGCUUGUUGGUAAAUAGCCGGCAAGACUGAUGGUACCAUUGAAGGAAGCACCGGCUAACUCCGUGCCAGCCGCCGCCGUAACAC
rnacentral:rRNA from 1 species